CGAGAAAACUUGCUCAACAGGAUGCAGGCAAGUUGGGGGUUUAUCACAGCAUCUAGGCAGUUGGGAGGGUUUCUGUGGGGGCAGGUGAGAACCCAGCAUAAAAGAACACUGGACAAAUGUGAAAGGAGCUGGGCAGCUGAGAGGAGGCAGAUAGAGAGCUGGAGAGCGUGGGACAAGACAACAUGUGAGGAAUGAAGACCAGAGGAGAAGGCUGAACUCUAUUCCCCUAACUUUUUGAAAAGGCGAUAGGGUGACGACAAUCCAUUGUGCAGCACUCAAUUUCUUCUCCCAUAUUCUUCUGACAGCGUGCAGAAGGCAAUGUCGGCGAGCUCCCCAUUAUCUUCCACAGAAGGCGGCCACAGAAGACUUUCCCUACAUGCUGCGCCCACCGGACUCACUGCUCCUGCCCCAGUAAGUAGCCCACAGUGGACAUGCACCGUAACAGCAUGAGCGUCCUGCAGUACAGCCAGCUGCCCAGAACCCAGACCUUUAUGAGCGCAUCUCCCUCCAGCUAUGGGCUACAGCUCCAGACUACAGCAGCACACAGUGUCAAUCAGAACUGUCAGGAUGACUGAGUUGCUGCAGCCGCUUCAUCCGGUGCCCUAGCAGGCGGGCGGAGGAAGCGUGUCUCCGCUCUGUGCCAUGCUGCAUAAUGUGGCAAGGCAGCAUGGAUUACCAGCAGACAUUGAUGAUGACCUAGAGCCUGAGAGGUAUGUUGGGAGACGAGGGAGAACCAACCAGAUGGAAGAGGAGUGCGUGAGAGGCUCAUCCGUGCUCAUCUUAUAAAUGAAGAACCUGCUGAUGGUGAUGUACUGGCGUGCCCCUAGCAGUGAAUGCUUUUCUGUAACAUCUUAUGCUGCAAGCAGAAAAAUGAUGGGAUGAGAAACACAUUGAACAUGUGUAUACACAUAUUCAAGCUAAACCAUUAUCUCUACUUGUCAUUUCAGCUUUCUGACCUCCUAUUGUGUUAUGUUGUUGUUCACGCGUGUCAUACUCUACUUUAUAAUGGUCAAUGUGUCUUUUCAGUCUCACAGACAACUUCCAGAGGUGUAACCAUGAUUUCACCAGGAAUUAUAAUUAAAACUCUGUACCCCAAAACAAUGCACCCAAUGAUCCCUGUACCCAAAACUCUACAGGUAUGCUAUGGAUGGUAUACAUAUGUGGUAAGCCUGGUGAACUUCUGUAGUAGCUCACCUAACCCAGAUCCCCACUGAUGUUUGGAAGGCAUGAAGGAAGCAUGCAGGUAGUUUUAACUGAGCUGAUGAAUUAAAGAUAAGAUGCUGGUAUUAAGGAACAAAACAGUUGUAUUAAUGUAAUUUCAAUUGACACAAGACAAAAGAAUUGCAUAAUAAAACAAUCAUUUAUUAACAAACUUUAAGGACAAGUUAAUAUUUUAUUCCCUGGUCCAGAGGGAGACGAAGCCAAAAACCCAGCCAGUUUUAAUUUAUGCUGGGAGAAAAAAAAAUCCUCCCUGACCCCACUUAUGGCGAUCGGAUGUUUUCCCUGGACAAAAUGAGUCCUUAACGUGUUGUCAUUGUCAAUUAUUUACAAUCAGAAUUAGUCCAUGUUUUCAGUCUCUUCACCAUUGUCCCCACUUGUGACGAUCAGAUGUUUUCCCUGGUCCAAACUGAGUCUUUAACGUGUUGUCAUUGUCAAUCAUUUAUAAGCAAAAUUCGUCCAUACUUUCAGCCUCUUCACUACUGUCUUUGCUUAUUUCUUGAAAAGUUAACAAAAUAACAUCUCUUACAUUUCUGCUGACCAAACGUUCAACAGUGGGGAGAGAGGGACAGAGAGAUGAAUUAAGAACAUGAGAAGUGGAAGUUACAUUAAAGGAAGAACAGAAAUUUGGUAGGAAAACUAAAUGUUGAGAAAUAAAGUGGAGAAAGUUUUUGGACUAUUAAACUGACAAUUAUCCUUAAUGGUUUCUCUUUUCUUUAAAGAUCCUGUUGGUUUAGAUGUCAUUAUGAUGGCUUCAGGAACACUGUGGGAAAUCUAAAACAUCUGUCAUUCUCUUCACCUCUCCAGUGCCGACUACUUCCUUUUUCAAACCUUACAUGUAUAAAGCAUAUUACAAUUUUGCUGACAUGGGAGAGUGAGACAUAAAAAAAAAGAGAGGGUUGGAGACAGUAGGAAGAGAAUACAUGUACUUAUCUUCUUCCACCUGAAUUGAUCUCCAAUAUGUGCUUCCUUUCCAUCUUUCUUCUAUCCUAAGUAUAUGUAGCAAGUAAUGUGUUAGAUGAUAGAUGAACUGAGAGAGAGCAGGGGAAAUGGAAGUUAGGUCAGAGGAAGCAUAGAUAAUAAAUGUACAUAUCUUUUUCCAGCAGAAUUGAUGGUCGUCUGGAUCUCCAAUUCCUUUCAUUAUAUCAUAUAUUACAAGAGAGUGAGAAAGAUGUAGGAGGUAAAAGUUACAUCAGAGUACAAAUGGAAAAUAACUGCUUUUGCAGUUGACCCAAUGGCUUAGAUGUCCUUUAAUGUAAUGAAGCUAUUUUCUUCUGAAUCUCGGGUAUCCUUGGCAAGUUCACGUUCCACUGCAUCAUCUGUAAAAACCUCUUGAUUUGUGUCUCAUUGUGUUCCCAAUUCUGGAAAUGCUCUAUUUAUUAAAGGAAGAGAAAUGUUAAAUUAAUAAAUCUCCUUGUUAUUGCCCGUCCAUGUGUAAACAGUUUGUGUAUAAGUUUCAUUUGUAAAUACAUAAAAAUCUUACCGGCGA